rnacentral:rRNA from 1 species
GGGUAGCGGUGAAAUUCCAAACGAACUUGGAGAUAGCUGGUUCUCUCCGAAAUAGCUUUAGGGCUAGCCUCGGAAGAAGGAUAGUGGAGGUAGAGCACUGUUUGGACUAGGGGCCCAUCAUGGGUUACUGAAUUCAGAUAAACUCCGAAUGCCACAUAUCUAUAUCCGGGAGUCAGACUGCGAGUGAUAAGAUCCGUAGUCGAAAGGGAAACAGCCCAGACCACCAAUUAAGGUCCC